ACCGUAGAAGGUAAUAGUCCUGUAAGUGAAACGAGAAGACCACGAGUUAUGAUCCAGAGUACCACGAGACACGUGAAACCUUGUGGGAAGCAGGGAGGACCACCUCCCAAGGCUAAAUACUACCUGAUGACCGAUAGUGAAGCAGUACCGUGAGGGAAAGGUGAAAAGAACCCCGGGAGGGGAGUGAAAUAGAACCUGAAACCGUGUGCCUACAACCGCUCAGAGCCCCUUAUGAGGGUGAUGAGGUGCUUUUUGUAGAACGAGCCAACGAGUUACGGUAUGUAGCAAGGUUAAGUACUUAAGGUACGGAGCCGAAGGGAAACCGAGUCUGAAUAGGGCGACUAGUUGCAUGCCGUAGACCCGAAACCGGGUGACCUAUCCAUGGCCAGGUUGAAGCGAGGGUAAAACCUCGUGGAGGACCGAACCACGUUGCUGUUGAAAAAGCAUGGGAUGAGCUGUGGAUAGCGGAGAAAUUCCAAUCGAACCCGGAGAUAGCUGGUUCUCUCCGAAAUAGCUUUAGGGCUAGCGUCGAGUAUGAGUAGUGGAGGUAGAGCACUGAAUGGGCUAGGGGGCAUAGCGCUUACCGAACCUUAUCAAACUCCGAAUGCCACAUACUUUGAGCUCGGCAGUCAGACUACGAAUGAUAAGAUCCGUGGUCAAAAGGGAAACAGCCCAGAUCGUCAGCUAAGGUCCCAAAGUGUAAGUUAAGUGGGAAAGGAUGUGAGAUUUCUAAGACAACUAGGAUGUUGGCUUAGAAGCAGCCAUUCAUUAAAAGAGUGCGUAAUAGCUCACUAGUCGAGAGAUCUUGCGCCGAAAAUGUAACGGGGCUAAACUUACCACCGAAGCUACGGGCUUGAAC
rnacentral:rRNA from 1 species